GCCGGGGUGAUGAAAUUGGCAAACAUAACGGACUUAAAAUCCGUCGGCCGCAAGGCCCUGAGGGUUCAAGUCCCUCCCCCGGCA
rnacentral:tRNA from 1 species